UGUAACAAUCCGCCCUCAAAUAUUCUUUUUAAACAGCAGUGUUACUAUAAACGCACAAUGACAUUCUUUGGAAUGAAUGCAAAAAUGGCGAAUAUCACUAAAGCUUCAAUAUUAUCACAUACAUCAAUGCUUUCUGUAGCAGAUGUAUGAUAGUGAAUAAGUCACACAGUAUAUAAAAAAAUAACAAUAAUAUUCCGACGGCGCGGAAGUGGAACACCAUAAACAUAAAACACUCAAAACAGCUCAAUUGAAUGACGCGCAGAGCGCAGUAUAUUAUAAUGAGACAGUUAUCCAGUGCACUCACCACCUUCAAACACCCCGUACAGGAAAGAUAAGUAAACAAAAAUCUCCAGGCUGCCUCAUGAGCUCGCUACAGUCCUUCCAACCGGGAAACAUUUAGUCCAUUAGUCCAGGCGAAUGAUCCUCGAUCGGACCGAGGCAAAAAAAUGUAAUCCACACACAAAAAAGGGGAAAAGUUAGUCCGUGAGAAUAAUCCUUUUACAAGAGAUGUGUACACGAGUGAACAAUCCAGGUGGUUAAAUAAUUUUCUCUCCUCUCUCCACCAUUAAAGCAGUCUCUUAAAGUAUCGUUUGAAAAUACUAUCAAACCAUAAGGAAACAAGCUUUAAAUCUCUUAUAGCUGCAGCAAACAUUGCUGGCGCCAUGAAUUCAAAACAACCCUUCUCCUCCCCUUGGUUCACUUUUGUUUUUCUUAUAUAAGCUUAGCCAUGCCCUCAUAGUGAGUGCGGGCGGCCGAGCCUUAAAGAGACAUUCCCCUCUUACCAAAAUACACAGUGGACACUAUAGUACAUCACACAGAAAUACACAGGAGUAUCAUUCAUAAUACAUCAACAUUAUAUGAACAAAUAUAUUACCUCCUGAGCAAUCAUAAGCAUUACUGUGUCAAAGGAACACUUAAUUUAAUGUGACUGUGUCACAGAUCCCCCCCCCCCCAGCUGGAGGUACCGGAGGCUGAACCCCGAAGUAGGGCUUCAGAUUGACCACAUUAAUCGUGUCCAUCUUUUUGUUUUGGUCAUUCCACUGUACCUGGUAAUUAAUGGGGCCUAGUUUUCUCAUCACAGUGGCUGGACCCGACCACUUGGGCGCAAGCUUCGAUGAGAAAUUUUCAGAGGCUUUAGAGAGUGGGUGAGUGCGGACUCAGACCAAGUCUCCCGGCAGGAGUUGUACACCUCUCCUGUGGGUAUUGUAAUACCUGGCUUGUCUGGACUGACACAUCUGCACUCUCUUCUUGACCUGAUCAUUCAUUUGUUUCUGUCUUUCCAGUAGGGUGUAUGGUGACUGUUGUGGAGUAGGAGGGGAACUAAUGAGCCUUUCCAGUGGGCCUUUCAGGGACCUUCCGAGUGCUAGUUCUCCAGGCGUUUGGCCCGUGGUUUCAUGAUAGGCAGCAUUGAUGGCAAAACGGAAUUCCCUGAUCCACUGGUCCCAGUUCUUAUGAUGGUUCCCCACGUACGAUGCAAUCAUUGUCUUGAUGGAGCGAUUGGACCGCUCAGUGAGGUUGGCUUGGGGGUGAUAACUGGUGGUAAAUUUCUGCGUUACUCCCCAAGUCUUACAGAGGUUAGUCAUUUCAUGGCCAGUAAAC
ensembl:lncRNA